CCUACGGGUGGCUGCAGUGAGGAAUAUUGGUCAAUGGUCGAGAGCCUGAACCAGCCAAGUCGCGUGAGGGAGUACUGCCCUAUGGGUUGUAAACCUCUUUUGUCGGGGAGCAAAAGCCGGACGUGUCCGGCUGUUAGAUUACCCGAAGAAAAAGCAUCGGCUAACUCCGUUCCAGCAGCCGCGGUAAUACGGAGGAUGCGAGCGUUAUCCGGAUUUAGUGGGUUUAAAGGGUGCGCCGGCGGUUUUUUAAGUCAGCGGUAAAAUCGUGGGGCUCAACCCCAUCCAGCCGUUGAAACUGGUGAUCGAGAGUGUGAGAGAGGUAUGCGGAAUGCGGGGUGUAGCGGUGAAAUGCAUAGAGAUCACGCAGAACGCCGAUUGCGAAGGCAGCAUACCGGUGCACAACUGACGCUCAGGCACGAAAGCGUGGGUAUCGAACAGGAUUAGAUACCCGGGUAGUC
rnacentral:rRNA from 1 species